rnacentral:rRNA from 1 species
AGGGUUCGAUUCUGGCUCAGGAUGAACGCUAGCGGCAGGCCUAAUACAUGCAAGUCGGACGGGAUUUCCCUUCGGGGAAAUGAGAGUGGCGCACGGGUGCGUAACGCGUAUGCAACUAACCCUCAUCUGGGGGACAGCCGGUGGAAACGCCGGGUAAUACCCCAUGUCCACCACAGGCGGCACCGCCCAUGGUGGAAAGACUUUGGUCGGAGGAGGACGGGCAUGCGUCCCAUUAGAUAGUAGGCGGGGUGACGGCCCACCUAGUCGACGAUGGGUAGGGGAUCUGAGAGGACGGUCCCCCACACUGGUACUGAGACACGGACCAGACUCCUACGGGAGGCAGCAGUAAGGAAUAUUGGGCAAUGGGGGGAACCCUGACCCAGCCAUGCCCGCGUGAGGGAAUGAGGCCCUACGGGUCGUAAACCUCUUUUGUUCGGGGACAAGGACGGGAUCGAGAAUCCUGUUUGCGGGUACCGGACGAAUAAGCAUCGGCUAACUCCGUGCCAGCAGCUGC